UACAGAGGGGGCAAGCGUUAUUCGGAAUUAUUGGGCGUAAAGGGCGCGUAGGCGGCCUGUCAAGUCUCUCGUGAAAUCCCUCGGCUUAACUGAGGACGUGCGGGAGAUACUGUCAGGCUGGAGUCCGGAAGAGGGUGGUGGAAGUUCCCAGUGUAGCGGUGAAAUGCGUGAGAUAGUUGGGAGGAACGACCGGUGGCCGAAGGCGGCCACCUGGGCCGGAA
rnacentral:rRNA from 1 species